GUAGUAGAUACUAAAAAUCAUUCAAAUUAUUGUGCUUGCAACUUUACUAAAAUUGCAGGAUGUGAUUUUUCUUUUGUAGCUCCAGUUACUUCACAUGAACUUUUAGAAUCCAAUCUCACAAUGAUUCACAAGCUACUACCUACUCCCAUUGGGAUGAACCUUACUUUGGUAAAGCAGCUAUUACUUCAUCAAGAUCUAAUAGAGAUCCUAGGAAAAAUCAAGGAGAAUGGACAGAAAACUCUGUCCUGAAGACUCCACGACGACACCAUGGAACCCUGCUGAUGAAGAUCUUUCGAGGGCAAUUGUCAGUCAUGGGGUGGUUUCCGGCUCAGAACAGGACACAGCGCAGGUGGAACCACUGAACCGUCAUGCUAGCUGUUCCGAACAAGGCCUGGCAAGAACUUGGCAAGGAGUUGGCAAGGACUUGGCAAAGACCUGACAUGGACCCAGCACGGGACAGCCUGAUGCGCGGCCUGCUUCUCUUCUAAUCUCCGUUCUUAAGCCGAAUGAACUUUUGGGGUGACUCCCGUGGUCCUUCAUUGAAGACCCCUCAUCUGCCUCGUUACCACUGUGACAAACAAAGAAUGAGAACCCUCCUCCCAAGGACUGAGACUGAGACCCCUACUACAGGGAGGAGGGGAAAUUGGUGGUCUGACCACUAAUGA